rnacentral:rRNA from 1 species
AUUGAACGCUGGCGGCAGGCCUAACACAUGCAAGUCGAACGAGUGGCGGACGGGUGAGUAAUGUCUGGGAAACUGCCUGAGGGAGGGGGAUAACUACUGGAAACGGUAGCUAAUACCGCAUACCAUCGGAUGUGCCCAGAUGGGAUUAGCUAGUAGGGGGGGUAAAGGCUCACCUAGGCGACGAUCCAUAGCUGGUCUGAGAGGAUGACCAGCCACACUGGAACGGAGACACGGGUCCGACUCCUACGGGAGGCAGCAGUGGGGAAUAUUGCACAAUGGGCGCAAGCCUGAUGCAGCCAUGCCGCGUGUAUGAAGAAGGCAUGCGGGUUGUAAAGUACUUUCAGCGGGGAGGCGUUACCCGCAGAAGGAGCCCCGGCUAACUCCGUGCCAGGAGCCGCGGUAAUAC